AAAUAGUUUUCAUAUCAAAAACUCCGGAAGGGUUUCUGACGCUCAGAGGCAACCGAUCUACUAGAAAUUUAUUCGGAAGAAAUAAAGUACAAGGAAAGUAGAAAGAAAUUUUUAAAACGGAUCGGAGGGCCCCAAAGCAAUAUCCCGAGAAUCUCUUCAUGUCGAGAUCCAGCGUCGGAAGAGACAAUUAUUUUGUUACGAGUCUCAGGAAAGCUAGAAGCUAAUACAUAGCUAGACUUUGUAGUGAAUGAUGAAUCGCUUAGAAAAGGUCAACAACUGGAAACCUCGAAACGUAUCCCAAGGAUAAUAAGUGCGUUUUAUGACUCUAAUAACAAAUAUAGUGUAUUUGAUUGAUCCAGUUUCUAAAUUCCCGGAGAAAAAUGGCGGUUGUAGAUUUGCCAAAGUUAUGAAGACUCAAGUGGUUACAAUUGAAUAAAGAUAC